UACGAAGGGGGCUAGCGUUGCUCGGAAUGACUGGGCGUAAAGGGCGCGUAGGCGGUUUGUACAGUCAGAUGUGAAAUUCCUGGGCUCAACCUGGGGGCUGCAUUUGAUACGUGCGGACUUGAGUGAGGAAGAGGGUCGUGGAAUUCCCAGUGUAGAGGUGAAAUUCGUAGAUAUUGGGAAGAACACCAGUGGCGAAGGCGGCGACCUGGUCCUUGACUGACGCUGAGGCGCGAAAGCGUGGGGAGCAAACAGG
rnacentral:rRNA from 1 species